CCAACUUAUCAUAUGGCAAAUGUAUGUUUCAUCGAACCAUUUCGACUGUGUGUUUUAAGUUUUAUCUUGUUUUACGUCUACGGAAUUAAACGAAUCGAAGAUGACUUUUUGUUUCAAACCGGAAGAAAUGUCAUCAAAUUUUUAAAAGUCAUCUGGCCGCUUUAUCCAUUGUUUUACGCGACCUUGUUUUCCUCCAUGGUUUAUACAUCGUUGAGCACACAAGAAGGUACUGGCUUUGAAUUAGAUAUGCCUUAUAAUCAUCGUCACAUGAUUAUUGCCUGCGGAUUGAGCAUUUGCGCUAUUUACAUAUACGGCGCUGGAUGUUUAAAUUACAUAUACAUUCUCGGAGAAAUUGGAUCAAAUACGUCAAUGCCAAAAUUAAUAAAACCUGACUUUCAUUGGGGCCCUCAAAAUCCCAGCAGACGUCGAGAAAGGAAACAAUUUGCUCCGCGGAUUAAAAUUCGAGCCUCACGAAACCGCAUACGUCUGCAACGCUUUCGCAAGGAUUCGAUACGUCAAAUGCACGAACAAGACAUUGCUGAAGGCGUAAAACGUGGCCGAUUGUUCAUCGAUUCGGACUUUUAUACCAACUGCGCGCAAAGGAUCAAUACACAACCAGCGAAACCCACACGCAAAAGAGAUGCUAUUAUGAAAACAUCAUUUAUUAUAUAAACUUACGACUG